UGCAAGUCGAGCGGUAGAGAGAAGCUUGCUUCUCUUGAGAGCGGCGGACGGGUGAGUAAUGCCUAGGAAUCUGCCUGGUAGUGGGGGAUAACGUUCGGAAAUAUAUGGGAUCCUAGAUGACCUAAGUUUGGGCCAAACUGCAAGCUCGGGAGAAAGCAGGGGACCAAUAUUUCCCAGAGACUCGCCUAAUAUCGAAAUUCCCGUAGCCCAAUGGUAACUGGUCUGAGAGGAUGAUCAGUCACACUGGAACUGAGACACGGUCCAGACUCCUACGGGAGGCAGCAGUGGGGAAUAUUGGACAAUGGGCGAAAGCCUGAUCCAGCCAUGCCGCGUGUGUGAAGAAGGUCUUCGGAUUGUAAAGCACUUUAAGUUGGGAGGAAGGGUUGUAGAUUAAUACUCUGCAAUUUUGACGUUACCGACAGAAUAAGCACCGGCUAACUCUGUGCCAGCAGCCGCGGUAAUACAGAGGGUGCAAGCGUUAAUCGGAAUUACUGGGCGUAAAGCGCGCGUAGGUGGUUUGUUAAGUUGGAUGUGAAAUCCCCGGGCUCAUUAAGACACACCCGUUUGCAUAGCGCUGCACACGCGUAACGCUGGACAUUCGUGAAAUGCGUAGAUAUAGGAAGGAACACCAGUGGCGAAGGCGACCACCUGGACAUACUGACACUGAGGUGCGAAAGCGUGGGGAGCAAACAGGAUUAGAUACCCUGGUAGUCCACGCCGUAAACGAUGUCAACUAGCCGUUGGAAGCCUUGAGCUUUUAGUGGCGCAGCUAACGCAUUAAGUUGACCGCCUGGGGAGUACGGCCGCAAGGUUAAAACUCAAAUGAAUUGACGGGGGCC
rnacentral:rRNA from 1 species